rnacentral:lncRNA from 1 species
UUGAUCAUGUUUCUUUUAUUUUUCUUUACGUUUUUUUUUUUUAUUAAAUUACACAUUCAAUUUUACCUUUGUAUUUGUAUUCCAUCAAGAGGAACUAUAUGACACUCAAUAAGGGCAAAUAAUGAACAUGCAGUAACAAAAAUAUAGCACUAAGAAAGGGCGAUAAUAAAUAGCAUUGGAGUUACCAAAGGGAGAUAACUCCUAUUGGUCAACAAACCAUCACAACACCUUGUCUAAGUAGCACUGGUGAAAUGGUGUUCUGAUUGAUAGGAAACGAUAUGAAAAGCAUCUGUAACGGAGGACAACUUACAACUAAUCCAUAAAAAAAAAUAAACGAUUGUGCUAGUCCUGUGGAAAUAGAUUCAGUGUAUUCCUGGUAUGCAUUAUAAUGUGUUUCAAGUAUGUGUGAAUAUAUUCAUAUUGCCAUUCACUUUUUAUGAAAUUUUCGUACUCCAUGUAUAAUGUAUUCACAUAUAUCAUUUACUUUCAAAAUAAACAAGACACUUGUGUAGCAAGUCUGCAAAACUAAAAAUGUAUCCUUUUACUUAUAUAUACAUAAACAUAUAAUACAUACUUCUAUUCAUAUAAUAUCCAUGGUUACCAGAACUUGCAUACAAUACCAAGUAUUCAUUCCAACAACAAAAGAAAUGAUGGUACACUUUUAAAACAAAAUGUCACUUUAUUAUUCAAUAUAAAUUUCAGCCUACAGACUCGUAUUCCUGAAGUUCAUUGAUUGGUUGUAGUAUAAACAUAUAUGUUCCCCAUUCAGUUCUCCAGAGGACAGCUAGAUAUAUUGACUAUGUCUACAAUGUUGGGACCCAGGAUAGGGUAUCACAGAGAAAAUUCAUGACAUGUACUUUAAAACAGUGCAGAUAUUAGACGGUAAUUGAAAAAGGCAGUGGUUAAUAAAGGCCUUGGGAACAGAGGUGUCUGGGAAACGGGCCUCAGGACAGAGGUGUCUGGGAAACGGGCCUCAGGACAGAGGUGUCUGGGAAACGGGCCUCAGGACAGAGGUGUCUGGGAAACGGGCCUCAGGACAGAGGUGUCUGGGAAACGGGCCUCAGGACAGAGGUGUCUGGGAAACGGGCCUCAGGACAGAGGUGUCUGGGAAACGGGCCUCAGGACAGAGGUGUCUGGGAAACGGGCCUCAGGACAGAGGUGUCUGGGAAACGGGCCUCAGGACAGAGGUGUCUGGGAAACGGGCCUCAGGACAGAGGUGUCUGGGAAACGGGCCUCAGGACAGAGGUGUCUGGGAAACGGGCCUCAGGACAGAGGUGUCAGGGAAACGGACUUCAGGACAGAGGUGUCUGGGACACGGGCCUCAGGACAGAGGUGUCUGGGACACGGGCCUCAGGACAGAGGUGUCUAGGACACAGACUGAAGACAGGACUGUCUAGGACAAAGAAAAAAGGGGGAGUGAUCAACACUGGCCUUCCAACAAAUGUGUCUAGGAUGCAAUAUUGGCCUCAGAACAGGUGUAUCUAGGACAGAGAGAAAAGAAAAGUGGUCAACAUUAGCCUUGGGACAGGAGUGUCUUGGGCAAAGACGAAGAGAGAACGAUCAGUAUUGAACAGGUGUAUCUAGGAC